ACUACCAGCCAUACCACCCAGAAUAAGCCUGAUCUCAUCUGAUCUCAGAAGCUAAGCAGGGUUGGGCCUGAUUAGUGCUUGGAUAGGAGACUGUCUGGGAAUACCGGGUGCUGCGGACU
ensembl:rRNA 5S_rRNA 5S ribosomal RNA